rnacentral:lncRNA from 12 species
AUGACUUCCAUUAUUUUGUAAUAAAAGGCUUAAAGCACAAUGUGAGCUUUUUUUAGAUGCUACGUUCCAAGUGAGUAGUGUGUUGUUAAUUUUUAUAUUAAUGCAGGGUGCCAGCAGAACUCCGUGCAGAAUCUAAAGAAGAAAAUCACUUUCCCACAGCUCUGAUACCUGGUGACCGAUUUUAGCUUAUUUAUUUUAUUUUAUUUUAUUUUAUUUUAUAUUUUAUUUUAUUUUUUGUCAUCUCCUAGAUGAAAUGAACAUCCUUUCCACAGCGAUGCAGUAUAGAUAUUUCCAACACAAGGACCCUUCUCCCCAGUGACAAGAGAGUUCCUUGCUAAACCAUAGUUCUGUCACCAGCACAUGCAUUGGGUACAGCUUCCUACCUUCCCCUGUGCAUCUUCCUGAGAGCUGGAGAUGACGAGAUCCUCUACUUGUAUUCCCCAGUGAAAAGCUGACAACACUCUAUUGUCUGCCUACUAAUGAGCUUUCUUGUAUGGAAGAUGAUAAAGCAAAAUCUAAUCACAUCUAUGUCCCCAAACACACUUCAGGUGAUUGUAGGAUGGAGAGGAAGAAAGAGGAGAAGAGAGGUAGAGUCACUGCAUAGGCCAGACCACCUGGACACCAGAGGGGAUGGCAGCAGGCCAGUUGUGAACUUCCAGCUCUAUGACCUCUCCUUGAAAAUUUGAAAAACCUCAGGAAAUAGAAGCUCAGGAAUUUUCAGCUGACGGGGAGUGGUCUCUUCGUCAGGCAGAGGAUGGCUACACCACAUGAAAUGCUCCAGCAUCUUACGGUUUCUCCAAGGAUCCAAAUCUUCACCCCUUUACCCUUCCCCCUUCCUCUUUAUAUUCAUUAUUCUUGUGGCUGAUCUAGUGACAGUUAAAUAGCACUUCUAAAUAGAAGCAUUUGCAAAACUUCACAGGAGAAAGGAGGAGGAAGAUGUGGCACUACUACAAGGGCGUGAAGACACGUUUUAGCCUUUGUGUCUCCACAGUCCUUUAGGGCUGUCCCACGCUUGAGUGACAGAUCACAUAGCAUUGCGCACAUCCAGGUGUUUCCUAAGGAAUGAGUAUUAGUUAACAGGGAGAGAGAACUUCUGAAGCCUGAAACAUUUUUCUUGGUCUGUGAAAUUAAAGCAGAAGCCACUUUCAACUCAUUCAGGGGGAAAAAAUAUGGAUGUGUCUACUCGAUCACAUUAGGCUUGUCCAUCCCAUGUGACUCAGCUGCCUAU